rnacentral:rRNA from 1 species
CAGCCGCCACGGUAAUACGUAGGUGGCAAGCGUUGUCCGGAAUUAUUGGGCGUAAAGCGCGCGCAGGCGGAUCAGUCAGUCUGUCUUAAAAGUUCGGGGCUUAACCCCGUGAUGGGAUGGAAACUGCUGAUCUAGAGUAUCGGAGAGGAAAGUGGAAUUCCUAGUGUAGCGGUGAAAUGCGUAGAUAUUAGGAAGAACACCAGUGGCGAAGGCGACUUUCUGGACGAAAACUGACGCUGAGGCGCGAAAGCCAGGGGAGCGAACGGGAUUAGAUACCCGCGUAGUCCCUGUCUCUUAUACA